GACGAGCGCUGGCGGCGUGCCUAAUACAUGCAAGUAGAACGCACAGUUUAUACCGUAGCUUGCUACACCAUAGACUGUGAGUUGCGAACGGGUGAGUAACGCGUAGGUAACCUGCCUGGUAGCGGGGGAUAACUAUUGGAAACGAUAGCUAAUACCGCAUAAUAUUAAUUAUUGCAUGAUAAUUGAUUGAAAGAUGCAACUGCAUCACUACCAGAUGGACCUGCGUUGUAUUAGCUAGUAGGUGAGGUAACGGCUCACCUAGGCGACGAUACAUAGCCGACCGGAGAGGGUGAUCGGCCACACUGGGACUGAGACACGGCCCAGACUCCUACGGGAGGCAGCAGUAGGGAAUCUUCGGAAAUGGACGAAAGUCUGACCGAGCAACGCCGCGUGAGUGAAGAAGGGUUUCGGAUCGUAAAGCUCUGUUGUAAGAGAAGAACGGGUGUGAGAGUGGAAAGUUCACACUGUGACGGUAUCUUACCAGAAAGGGACGGCUAACUACGUG
rnacentral:rRNA from 1 species